UGUGUGGAAGUAGGGAUAAGACUAGAAACCUAGCCAGAAAAGAAUAUAAAAGAUGAAGCCUCAGACCUGACCAACAGAGCUUGUCAGACCCUGGCAUGAGACGACUCCCUUCCGCCAGAGAUGUGAGAUCCUGUCCCCAGUGCAGAUGUGGCUGACCAGAGGAAGGCUGACCCAAGAUCCAGAGGAACAGAUGUGGUGGGUCUGGACCUGUACACCCUGAGAGGUACUUGCAAAAGCCAGAAGAGGGCCUGGCAUCCCCUGGAGCUGGAGUUAGAGGCAGUGUCCACCUUCAACUCUCCAACAAACACUGGUCUGUUUUCUGCCUUGGAGUUCUACAGAAUGCCAUAUAAAUGAAACUCUACAUGUACAAUUUCUGACCGUGCAUAAUGAAUCUGGACACACCCAUUUUGUUGUGUGCAUCAGCAGUUCAUUCUUUUUGGCUGGGCGCUAUUAUCAGUCAAGAGACUUGUCCCAGAGCCUCUCCAAGGUUGGUAGCUUGUACAAAGAAUCUCAGAAUCUUUUAUAGGAAACUUAUUUUCAAAUACAUGGUGCAGUCACCUCCUGCCUCAGAGAAGAAUGGUCAUGAGAACAAGAUUGGAACCCAGUUCUCUGCAAUUUAAGGGAUCUUGUCAUUGGGACACACAUGUAAGCUGGAGCCAGGGAAACCUAUAAUAGACCCGCUUUCAGCCAUGAUGGAUUGAAAUGCACCAAAGAAGUCGAUGACGAGAGAUAACUGCUGGUCUACAUGUGUCGUGGGCUGUGUACCGCUCCACGUCAAACUUGAAAAGGCUCUUGGAGCAGCAAAAGCAGCUUUUCUGUGCCUUCAGUAUCUACUACCAGGAAACAAAAUUAACCUCCUGAAAUUCAGUGGCUGCAGCUGGUUUUGUCAGGUUGGGUUGUGGUGGGAAGUGUGUAGUGUAGUGUGCAGGUGUCCCCUGUUCACAUCCACCACACUUAUAUGCUGAGCGGGAAUGUGAAAAGCUGUCAUUUAUCCAGCAUUAUCUUGGCUCCUGACUAAUCUUCCUUUCUCAUCAGUUUUUGUUUUCAAAGUGAUUGGAAACUUUAAGUCAACAGAUGUUAAUCAACUCUCUGCAGUUGCUGGGGUCUAAGCUCAGACUGUGAGAACAGGGAAAAGAAAAAGUGAAUAAAAUAUAAUGUUUGCCUUAAAGAAGCUGAUGGGUGAAUGAUUUCCCAAACAGCAUGAUGUUUUGAGCUGUAAGGAUUUUAAGAAAUGAGAACCUACUCAACAUUUUUCAGAGGUUGAAAUACAGUUUCCCUACAAAGUGAAACUGUCCAGCUUACUGGGAAGGGUGCUGAGAGGUCUGAGGGGGACUCCACGUGCCCCAUGUCUCACAAAUGUUAGUGCUUGCCACAGUUGUUUGGAUUUUCUGAUCCCAACCAGAGCUGGAUCAGAGCAGGGAAUGGAUGAGUCAAAGUUGGCUGUGCCUUCUGCCUCAUUCUGAAGAGUAAGUCAGAGGUUAAGAGCACCCCACUCAGCUCAAGAAGCUCAGAGUAGAUCUUUUACCACAGUCAGGAGCUGGAUGGAGGGAGAGUGUGAAGGGGUGUUUUUCUUCUUGCCACAGUGAUUAGUCAUGAGGUGAGAAUUCCACAGUUGCAUUUUAUGACCUGAGCUCAAGACUGAAAUUUAACUUAAAAGUUGGUAUUCGGGAACUGAAUGUUAAGAUUCUUCUACAAAUUGCUCUGUUCCUGAGUCAUCAUCAGAGUCAGUGACCUCGAUUAGAGUUUAGAUAUGCUCUUUGAUAUACACACAUCAUACACCAAACACUGUGUCUGUGAUGGUGGCCUCCUGCCCAUUGCCUGCCCAGCAAACAUAUUCUCCAGCAUUCACUGGGGAGGCCUGGAAGAUGUACAAGCAGCAGCCUCGGACCCGGCCAGCCAUGAAAGCGGUAUAAGAGGGCUUCCCAGAGCCCAGCAGGGGCCCCAUACAUGUCUGCCAGUGUGACCCCUAUAUAGACUCCCACCUGUGGACCCUUCUAUAUUCUAGGAAUGAGUAUCUGACAUCAGGCAGGCAGGCUGCCCCCAGGCUUGUACCAAGUGACCUGUGUGUGGGUAUCACGUGCAAUGGAGAAAGGAGCAGUCAGAUUAUACUAAAUAUAUAAUUCAUGAGACUUUGAUAUUCCUUUACCAAGAUGUGCAUGAAUCUUACCAAGAUCUGAAUUUUGAGCUUACU